CACCUACGGGACGCAGCAGUGGGGAAUAUUGCACAAUGGGCGCAAGCCUGAUGCAGCCAUGCCGCGUGUAUGAAGAAGGCCUUCGGGUUGUAAAGUACUUGAAGCGGGGAGGAAGGGAGCAAAGUUAAUACCUUUGCUCAUUGACGUUACCCGCAGAAGAAGCACCGGCUAACUCCGUGCCAGCAGCCGCGGCAAUACGGAGGGUGCAAGCGUCAAUCGGAAUUACUGGGCGUAAAGCGC
rnacentral:rRNA from 1 species